UGAGGAAUAUUGGACAAUGGAUGGAAAUCUGAUCCAGCCAUGCCGCGUGCAGGAAGACGGCCCUAUGGGUUGUAAACUGCUUUUGUAUGGGAGCAAUAAGGACUACGUGUAGUUUGAUGAGAGUACCAUACGAAUAGGCAUCGGCUAACUCCGUGCCAGCAGCCGCGGUAAUACGGAGGAUGCGAGCGUUAUCCGGAUUUAUUGGGUUUAAAGGGUGCGUAGGCGGCGAUAUAAGUCAGUGGUGAAAUAUUUCGGCUUAACCGAGAGACUGCCAUUGAUACUGUGUUGCUAGAAUAUGGUUGCUGUGAGUGGAAUGUGUGGUGUAGCGGUGAAAUGCUUAGAUAUCACACAGAAUAUCGAUUGCGAAGGCAGCUCACAAAGCCAUUAUUGACGCUGAGGCACGAAAGUGUGGGGAUCAAACA
rnacentral:rRNA from 1 species